UACUAUUUUUCUUAUAUAAUGAAUAGUACCAGCCUCGUAUUCAUUGAGCUGGAUUUGGAAAAAAAAAUGCCAUUGCUUCCUCCUCUUCUUUCUUAGCUAUGUUUCUAUGCUCUUCUUCACUAAACCCAUUCAUAUUUCACACUAACUAAUUCCACAACUUCUCUCCUCUGCACUACUUUCUCACUCUGCUUCCUAGUCUUCUGUCUCUCCCUCCUCAAGCCCCAAAUCCGAGCAGCUGCUGUGCCCAAGGUGUGUCUCGCUCAACACCAAUGUCUGUUACUACAACAACCCCAAAUCUCUCUCUCAUUCUCCCCACAUCCUCAUCUCCACAAAUUUUCACAUUUCACACACACAGACCCCGGUUUUUGUUGGAAAAUUUGCUAUGAAAUGGCAAGGGAUGGUUGGGUGACCUGGCUUAGGAGUGACCCGGUAGACCAAUGAAGAAUUUUGACUGGCCAGAGAAGUGUCAUGACCGACCAGGCAUGACCUUGUCCGACCAGUCACAUGCUUGUCUGCCCAGGCAUGACCUUGUCCGACCAGUCACAUGCUUGUCUGCCCAGGCAUGACCUUGGCCGGUCGGUCAUGACCAUGUCCGACCAGCCAAGUGCAUGUCUGCCCAGUGAAGGUGUGGUCGACCAGCUUGGACGAGAUAUGGAUCGACUAGAUAGAGCAAAGCUACGCACGAGAUCCCAGAAACAGCUUCAACAAGAAUCGGUCUUGGCUUGCGCGGGAAUCUCUCAUUUAUCCCACGAAUAUAGUGUACUAUUAUAUUUUGAAUAUUAUUGUAAAUUAAAUAUAAUGAGAAUAACAAAAUAUCCCGAUUAUGGGGGGAUAUCAUCUGUACGAUCCUGAGCUUAUAAAUACAAGGCUUAUGGCAUCAUAAGGGGGACUUUGGGAACUUUCGAUUGAAUUCUUAUUUUCUAGAGAGAGAGAGAGCGUACUUGUAUUUGAUAGAAUUCUUGUAUUCUUGUAAUCUGCACUGAAGAAACUCAGUUGACUCAGGUUCAUCUGAUCUUGAGUGCAGGUCUAUAAUCACAACUCUAAGUGGAUUAGGCAAUUACCAACACAUUGGGGCUGAACCACUAUAAAAA